UACGUAGGGGGCAAGCGUUAUCCGGAUUUACUGGGUGUAAAGGGAGCGUAGACGGUUAUGCAAGUCAGAAGUGAAAGCCCAAAGCUCAACUUCGGGACUGCUUUUGAAACUGUGUAACUAGAGUGCAGGAGGGGUAAGCGGAAUUCCUAGUGUAGCGGUGUAAUGCGUAGAUAUUAGGAGGAACACCGGCGGCGAAGGCGGCUUACUGGACUGUAACUGACGUUGAGGCUCGAAAGCGUGGGGAGCAAACAGG
rnacentral:rRNA from 1 species